rnacentral:rRNA from 1 species
CGAAAGCCUGACGGAGCAAUACCGCGUGAGGGAUGACAGCCUGUGGGUUGUAAACCUCUUUUCUCAAGGAAGAAGUUCUGACGGUACUUGAGGAAUAAGCAUCGGCUAACUCUGUGCCAGCAGCCGCGGUAAUACGGAGGAGGCAAGCGUUAUCCGGAAUUAUUGGGCGUAAAGCGUCCGCAGGUGGCGAUUCAAGUCUGCUGUCAAAGCACGGGGCUUAACUCCGUAAAGGCAGUGGAAACUGAAUAGCUAGAGUGCCGUAGGGGUAGAGGGAAUUCCCGGUGUAGCGGUGAAAUGCGUAGAGAUCGGGAAGAACAUCGGUGGCGAAAGCGCUCUACUGGACGGCAACUGACACUCAGGGACGAAAGCUAGGGGAGCG